UAGCACUCGCUCACUUCCUGUUUGCCAUCCACAUGGUGAGAUGGAGCAAAUGUGAUUGUCAAGGGUGGGGCUGUCUCUAAUGGUAUCGUAUGCCAUCUAACCAAGAAGGUGCAAGUUAUAACCCCUCUCUUAGCUCACAAGCAGGCAAAAGUGUAUCUUCAAAAGUUCAUCUAGAUCUGCUGAAACCCAGAUUAGAGGAACGUGAGCAGCAUCUCCAUCCAUCAGCUCCAGUGGAUGACCAGAUUUUAGGACUUCUGCUGCAAGCUUAGGGAGAGAGAUUCUGCAUCACCAUGGAGAUUACAGAAUGGCACACAAUAAAAGAAAUAAUCAGUUUCCUUCCCUGAUGGACAGAACCAAGCGAUCUCCACCACUCCAUCCAUCAGGAGCUGGUUCUUUCACUGUCCAAAGAUUCUGUCUUUGUCAAAAAAAAUCUGUAAAGUCAUCAUUAAGUAGUAAAUGUGUAAAUGAGUUUUCUUCAGUUGUAAUGUACCUUGCUGUAGUCCAUCAUUAUCAUUGUAGAAAGGUUUCCACUAAGUCUUUCUCUCUACAAGGCUUCUUCCAGUGUAGUGAUGCUAUUAGAAAUUAUAUUUUUUUGUUCUUUGUAAAUUUAAUUAAAUAGCAGGUAAAUAACACAGAUGCAUUAAUCUCAUGUCUUCUAAUGUGUCUGUAGUCUAUUAAGUACUAAAAUAAGUUAAUAAUCUGUGUGUGUAUGUGUGUGUUUUGGCAUUGAGAGAGAGAGAGAGAGAGAGAGAGAGAGAGAGAGAGAGAGAGAGAGAGAGGGGCACGCGACAUCAUAGCACAUUUAUGUUCAUUUUUACACACUACCCAUGAUUUAUUAUGUAAACAGUUGUCCUGGUCUCUAACAUCUUGACAAACAGUACAACAUACAACCCUCACUCUGCACGUAAGAGCAUGAAAUCAUUUGGGUCAGAAAACUAGGGCCUUUUUACAUCUGGUCACUUCAUGUGUUUUCUCUGAUCCGAUAGCUAUCUGAUUUGUUAAAACUGUUCCAUUUACAUUAGGCCACAUAAUGUAAUGUGUGAAUCGGAUAUCAAUCCUA